CUCUCUACUUCACGUCUGCUGUGAAGCAGUUCUCUUCAACUCUUCCUCCUCUUCUUCGGGUUAAUAAUAGAGGAAGAAAUAUGACAAACGACUCUUUGGUUUCAACUUCCCACACCUCUCGCGGCUCUCCUUUACUAAGCGCCUCCCCCGUUGGCGCGCUUCCGGCGGACGCCGCGGCGGCCAGAGAGGAGGAGGAGCAACAGAAGCAGAGGAAGUAAGAAGCUUCUUUGCCGUCUCCGUUGAAGGCGGGAUCGCUGCCGAGGCACGUGGCGGUGAUAAUGGACGGGAAUUCGAGUUGGGCGAGGGCGAGGGGGCUGCCGGCGUCGGCCGGGCAUGUGGCUGGGUACCGCGCCCUCGAGAAGAUCGUCGACCUGUCGUCCCGGUGGGGGAAUCCGGGCGCUCACCGUCUUCGCCUUCUCCUCCGACAACUGGCGCCGCCCCAAGGCUGGUCGAGGCGGAGGUUGAUUUCCUGAUGAUUCUGUUGGAGGGUGUGCUGAAAGAGAACAUCGGAGAUUUCUUCAAAUAGCACCAAGUUUUUUGUAUCACCACCGGAGAAUGAAGAGUAGGAAGUCAGUUCCGGAACUAGAUUUGGAUGUCUAACCUUUCACUGCUUGUCCAGCCAUCUUGGACCUGCACAGAGUAUUGCAAGUUCCAUAGCACAUCAUCGAUCGAUGGGCGCUGCUUAGGAUCUCUGGAUGUACAACUGAGGGAUAUUUCCACUGCUGUUCUUAGGGAGUCGAGAGCAGAACUUUCGCGAAUUGCAGGGUCCAUGAGUCCUUUCAGGAGACAGAAAAACCAGUCAUCUUCAUUGAUCCUCAGUUGUUUCAUUCAGCAGGGAAAAAAAUGAACAGGACAAGAACCAAAAUUUGGACCGCAAAAGAUGCAAAUGAGAGUUUUUACCAAUACAUUCUGAAGGCAAAAUCAGAGCAAGCAGGCUGGUUCAAAUCGAUACCUGUCCUCGAGGACCAUCUUCGAUCAAGUUUGAUGAAUCGAAACUAUCAGUCACUUCUUCAAGCUCCUCCAUACUGAAAACAUGAUACGGCAUUAGCCCAAGAGUCCCUAUCCGCAUUGCAUGAGAC